GCUGGGAGACACGGCGGUAUAAUGGUUACUACCUUGGACUCCAGAUCGAGAUGGCCAGGUUCAAGCCCUGGCCUGGCA